GUCUCUUAGAAAUUAUUAAGAGUCAGGCCUGCCCAGUGAUUGCUUUUUAACGGCCGCGGUACCCUGACCGUGCAAAGGUAGCAUAAUCAUUUGCCUUUUAAUUGGAGGCUGGUAUGAACGGUUUAACGAGAGUAAAGCUGUCUCACGCACAUUAAUUAGAAACUAAUUUAAAGGUGCAAAAGCCUUUAUAAAACAAAAAGACGAGAAGACCCUGUUGAGCUUUAAUUUUAAUGAGCACCAACUUUAUAUUUAUAUAAUUCAUUUGCUCAAUAAAAAUUUUAAUUGGGGCGAUUAAGGAACACAAUAAAGCUUCCUGACUUUAAAACUGAAUAUUUAUAAAUUAAAUCGAUCCAGCAAUGCUGAUCAACAAAACGAGUUACCACAGGGAUAACAGCAUAAUUCUUUUUCAGAGCUCAUAUCGAAAAAAGAGAUUGUGACCUCGAUGUUGGACUAGGGUAACAAGAAGGUGUAGCAGCUUUCUCACUUGGUCUGUUCGACCAAUAAUUCCCU
rnacentral:rRNA from 1 species